UUAAAAUACUGCUUCCCGUAUGAUCACCAAAGUUAAACAAUGUUGAGCCUGGUCAGUACUUAGAUGGGUGACUGUUUGGGAAUACUCUGUGCAGUAAG